GUGUCAGCCGCCGCGGUAAUACAGAGGCCCCAAGCGUUACUGAGAAUCACUGGGUUUAAAGGGUGCGUAGGUGGCGCGUUAAGUCCGUUGUGAAAGCCCUGGGCUCAACCCAGGAACUGCUUCGGAUACUGGCGCGCUUGAGGCUAGUAGGGGUCACUGGAACUGACGGUGGAGCGGUGAAAUGCGUAGAUAUCGUCAGGAACGCCAAUGGUGAAGACAGGUGACUGGGCUAGUUCUGACACUGAGGCACGAAAGCGUGGGGAGCGAACGGGAUUAGAAACCCUCGUAGUCC
rnacentral:rRNA from 1 species